UGCAAGUCGAACGGCAGCGCGGGGCAACCUGGCGGCGAGUGGCGAACGGGUGAGUAAUAUAUCGGAACGUACCCUGGAGUGGGGGAUAACGUAGCGAAAGUUACGCUAAUACCGCAUACGAUCUAAGGAUGAAAGUGGGGGAUCGCAAGACCUCAUGCUCCUGGAGCGGCCGAUAUCUGAUUAGCUAGUUGGUGGGGUAAAGGCCUACCAAGGCAUCGAUCAGUAGCUGGUCUGAGAGGACGACCAGCCACACUGGAACUGAGACACGGUCCAGACUCCUACGGGAGGCAGCAGUGGGGAAUUUUGGACAAUGGGCGCAAGCCUGAUCCAGCAAUGCCGCGUGAGUGAAGAAGGCCUUCGGGUUGUAAAGCUCUUUUGUCAGGGAAGAAACGGUGAGGGCUAAUAUCCCUUGCUAAUGACGGUACCUGAAGAAUAAGCACCGGCUAACUACGUGCCAGCAGCCGCGGUAAUACGUAGGGUGCAAGCGUUAAUCGGAAUUACUGGGCGUAAAGCGUGCGCAGGCGGUUUUGUAAGUCUGUCGUGAAAUCCCCGGGCUCAACCUGGGAAUUGCGAUGGAGACUGCAAGGCUAGAAUCUGGCAGAGGGGGGUAGAAUUCCACGUGUAGCAGUGAAAUGCGUAGAUAUGUGGAGGAACACCGAUGGCGAAGGCAGCCCCCUGGGCUAAGAUUGACGCUCAUGCACGAAAGCGUGGGGAGCAAACAGGAUUAGAUACCCUGGUAGUCCACGCCCUAAACGAUGUCUACUAGUUGUCGGGUCUUAAUUGACUUGGUAACGCAGCUAACGCGUGAAGUAGACCGCCUGGGGAGUACGGUCGCAAGAUUAAAACUCAAAGGAAUUGACGGGGACCC
rnacentral:rRNA from 1 species